rnacentral:sRNA from 1 species
CAGCACCGGGGCCGCGCCGCCUUCUCCUCGCCGGCAUCAACCCCCAGCCGCACAUUUACGCGGCGGCGCCCGCAGACCCCUUCGGCCCAGCUUCCGCGCGUGCCCCUGAGCGCGCCCUCGGGAUCAGCUCCUGGCAGCUGAGAGGCCGGGCCGGGAAGGAUGAUCGAGGGGGUGACUGCCCUGGGAGCACGGCAGGGAGGACACCCAGCCAGCCCUGCGAGCAGCGCCGCUCCCCUCCUCCAGGACGGGCGGGAACCUGCGACGCCCCCGCUGCGUGGGGCGGGGCCGUGGGGCGGUCUCCGUGGCACUGGGCGGGGCAAGCGGUGAGCGUUUCACGGAACUCGCAUUUCUCAGUCUUCAUAACCCAGGAGGAAGCCCACGGCGUCCUGCAUAGGCGCCGGCGCGCCAACACGUUCCUGGAGGAGCUGCGGCCGGGCUCCCUGGAGAGGGAGUGCAAGGAGGAGCAGUGCUCCUUUGAGGAGGCCCGGGAGAUCUUCAAAGACCUGGAGAGGACGUGGUGAGUGGAUGAUUGCCACCAAUCCUGCCUGCAACCCUUCUCCUCAGCAUACUGACACCAGCCCACUCCACAGAUGGGGACCAGUGUGCCUCAAGUCCAUGCCAGAAUGGGGGCUCCUGCAAGGACCAGCUCCAGUCCUAUAUCUGCUUCUGCCUCCCUGACUUCGAGGGCCGGAACUGUGAGAUGUUUGAAUAUCCAUGUGGAAAAAUACCUAUUCUGGAAAAAAGAAAUGCCAGCAAACCCCAAGGCCGAAUUGU